rnacentral:rRNA from 1 species
GAUGAACGCUGGCGGCGUGCCUAACACAUGCGAGUCGAACGGAGAUUACGGACGGAAGUUUUCGGAUGGAAGACUGUAAUUCUUAGUGGCGGACGGGUGAGUAACGCGUGGGCAACCUGCCCUAUACAGGGGGAUAGCAGCUGGAAACGGCUGGUAAGACCGCAUAAGUCGGCGAGACCGCAUGGUUUUGCCGGGAAAUGAGCAAUCAGGUAUAGGAUGGGCCCGCGUCCGAUUAGCCAGUUGGCAGGGUAAAAGCCUACCAAAGCAACGAUCGGUAGCCGGACUGAGAGGUCGGACGGCCACAUUGGGACUGAGACACGGCCCAAACUCCUACGGGAGGCAGCAGUGGGGGAUAUUGCACAAUGGAGGAAACUCUGAUGCAGCGACGCCGCGUGAGUGAAGAAGUAUUUCGGUAUGUAAAGCUCUAUCAGCAGGGAAGAUGAUGACGGUACCUGACUAAGAAGCCCCGGCUAACUACGUG